GUCCAACGCGUUUAACCAGAACCCUUCCCGUCUCCUUCAAGGUCAGCCAAGUUAAGGUAAACAUCGAAGGUGUCAACGAAAGUGAAUCUUCAUCGAACCUAACCUACAUGGAUAAAAAAUAUAAACCAUGGAAGUGAGACUGUCAUUAUGCAUAAUUACGCUCUGUACAUUGCAAUGGAAGCAAAGUGUGAUUUCAUUCACUGAGGAAAACAUACAGCAAAUUAGGCGACAGUGGUGCAUAGUUCUAGUUCUCCUGCAGAACAUUCCCAUGCCGAUGAUGUAGAAGACACCCCCCACAAGAUGUCACAUCCGCAUCCAGCUCUGCAGGAUCAGACGAUACUGAAAACAAACUGCAUGGUGAACUGGGGAGCAGAUGUUCUUCUAAGGGACACCCUAGAGGCAGCAAGGUGGUUGAACUCCAAAUAUUUAAAUGCACUGUUUCCCUCCCUAGAAAAUGGCCUUCUUUGCCUCUUUUGAGGAGCAGGAGUGAAUGGUUGGCUGUGUUUUGCUACCACCAGAAACUUUGAAGAUUACCCAUCAUUUAGUUUUUCUAAGGACCCAGAAAACGAAGGCGGCGGGAGAACCUAUUCAAUUAAGUAAAUAUGUUUUGAAAAAUUAUCAUUAUAGAUAACUAUAGGAACUCAGUGUUCAGGCUAACAAAUGAGCUUCUAAUGUAAUGUUUGCUAGCUAACUUAGUAAAUUAAAUAUCACCAGCUAGCUAACUUCAUAUAGAUAUUUGGCUAUCAAUCUCGAUGUAUCGUUGUAACUCGAAAAUGCAUGUGUAGUUAGCUAACAGCCAUGGAAGAGGGUGGAUUAGCUAGCAGUUCCAGCUGUCAAAGAAGGGAGAGCUAUGAAACUCUGUCUGCAGAUUAAUAUGUCCCAAUGAAUGUCGCAAGAGAAUAAGGGUACGGCCUUGUGUAACGUAUAACUUUAAACCGUCCCCUCGUCCAUACCCGGGCGUGAACCAGGGACCCUCUGCACACAACAGUCACCAACGUAGCAUCUUUACCCAUCACUCCACAAAAGCCGUGGCCCUUGCAGAGCAAGGGGAACCACUACUUCAAGGUCUCAGAGCAAGUGACGUCACCGAUUGAAACGCUAUUAGGCGCGCACCACCGCUAACUAGCUAGCCGUUUCACAUCCGUUACACUUGUAUACCAUGGGUUCGACACAGUGUAUACAAAACAUUGAGGACACCUGCUCUUUCCAUGACAGACUGACCUGGUGAAUCCAGGUGAAAGCUAUGAUCCCUUUUUGAUGUCACUUGUUAAAUCUACUUCAAUCAGUGUAGAUAAAGGGGAGGAAACAGGUUAAAGAAGGAUUUGGUCAUAGGUGCCAGGCGCACCAGUUUGUGUCAAGCACUGCAAUGCUGCUGGGUUUUUCACGCUCAACAGUUUCCCGUGUUAAUCAAUAAUCGUCCACCACCCUAGGAACAUCCAGCCAACUUGUCACAGCUGUGGGAAGCAUCGGCUGUGGGUGCAACUCAAUAUUAGGAAGGUGUUUAUGUUUAGUAUACUCAGUGUAUGUGUACUUAUGUUAGCAGAUUGUGUAAGCAAAAAAUACAGUAACACACCAUGUGUAAACCUAUUAUGACUGGAGCAGACCAGCCCUGUUGGCUUCGUGUGCAGGUUUCGGUUCCAGCCCAGCACUAACAACCCGUAUUCAAUUUAUCAAACCUAAUUAGUUGAUCAUUUAAGUGUGCUAUUGCUGGGCUGGAAUAUAAAUCUGCUCACUCAGUGGAGCAAGGUUGGCCACCGUUGGUAUGCACUUUUUUUUUCUUCACCUGAAAUGAUGCUUUAGUAAUAAUAGCCAACUUGUUACUAAGAUUUCUAACCAUUACAUAUGACUUAGCUUACUUGUACACUUUGAAAUGACAAAUAGGGUUGAUUCUUUGAAGUGAAGGGUUUAAACUUGUUUUAAUUUGUUAACUUAACUAUUAUUCAAGAUGAACUAGUGUCAAUGUUGAUUAAUCACAGAUCACAAUUGUGCAAUAAAGAUAGGAAGGGAAUCUGUCUCUAAUUUGUCUCCGUUUCUGUGUUGUGUUCUCAAAUGAACACUACCUUUUUUUCAGUUGCAAACUUUCCAAUUAGUUUUAUUUGAUUUUCACUUGUUUUUUCAGGUUAUCAGUCAUGUGAUGCCAUUUUGCAGCUGAUAAUGGCAUGCAAUGCCAAUGCAGCCAUAGGCCUACAGCAGUGGUUCCCACUUCAGAUCUUGAGUAUGCCCAACAGCACACCUUUUGCUUCUCGCCCCGGACAAACAUUCAACUCAUUGAGGGCCUGAUGAUUAGAUGAAUCAGGUGUGCUUGUUUGGGCUACAAUAAAAACGUGUACUGUUGGCGGUAUUUGAGGACCAGAGUUGGGAACCACUGGCCUACAGUAUGAUGGCAUUUGCCUUAUGGGCAUUUGCAAUGCACCUCUUGACAUUCAUUAUACAUCUGAAGCAGAGAAUGGCUUAAUUUACACAUUGUUUACAUGUUGUCAUGCUAUAUCAAGGUAAGAUUAAAUAAAGACAAUCAAGAGCCCUGAUGGUAUAGGUGACCUGAAGAAGUGAUAUUCUAAAAUCAAACAGCAACAUUGUGUGAAAACCUUGUGAAGACUUACAGAAAAUGUUUGACCUCUGUCAUUGCCAACAAAGGGUAUAUAACAAAGU